GCGCCCUUGGCUCAAUUGGAUAGAGCAUCUGGCUUCGAACCAGAUGGUUGGCGGUUCGAGUCCGUCAGGGCGCA
rnacentral:tRNA from 1 species